GACGUAGGGCGCGAGCGUUGUCCGGAUUUAUUGGGCGUAAAGAGCUCGUAGGCGGCUUGUCGCGUCGACCGUGAAAACUCGGCAGCUCAACUGCGAGCCUGCGGUCGAUACGGGCAGGCUAGAGUUCGGUAGGGGGAGUCUGGAAUUCCUGGUGUAGCGGUGAAAUGCGCAGAUAUCAGGAGGAACACCGGUGGCGAAGGCGGGACUCUGGGGCCGAUACUGACGCUGAGGAGCGAAAAGCGUGGGGGAGCGAACAGG
rnacentral:rRNA from 1 species